AUGGAGACCGAGACUGUGGUUGAAACACUGCUAGAGCUGCCGCUGGAUGUAUUGAUGGAUAUCUUUUCCCUCCUGGAGCUUCCUGACCUCAUUCGUGUGAGCUCUGUCUGCUCCUUUUGGCGCUCUGCAUAUAGUACUCUACAUAACCAGCUUGGGCAAUAUAAGCGGCCACAGACACCUUGCCUCCUCUACGCCUCCGAAUCCGACGGUGAGAACGGAGCUUGUCUCUACAAUCUUGCAGAAAAGAGGGUCUACAAGCUAACUCUUCCGGAUCCACCUAUCCGCAGUAGGCAUCUCAUUGGGUCCUCCCAUGGCUGGUUAGUUACUGCUGAUGAGAAGUCCGAGCUUCACCUUCUCAAUCCGAUCACUGGUCAA
rnacentral:rRNA from 1 species